rnacentral:tRNA from 1 species
ACCUGUAGCGCAAUGGAUAGCGAGUUGGACUUCUAAUACAAAUGUCGUGGGUUCGAAUCCCAUCUGGGCUG